GACAGAGGAUGCAAGCGUUAUCCGGAAUGAUUGGGCGUAAAGCGUCUGUAGGUGGCUUUUCAAGUCCGCCGUCAAAUCCCAGGGCUCAACCCUGGACAGGCGGUGGAAACUACCAAGCUGGAGUACGGUAGGGGCAGAGGGAAUUUCCGGUGGAGCGGUGAAAUGCAUUGAGAUCGGAAAGAACACCAACGGCGAAGGCGACUCACUGGACAGGUAUUGACGCUGAGGUGGCGAA
rnacentral:rRNA from 1 species